GACGUGAGCUUGUAACCCGAGUUGGGGCAUUAAGGUGAUUUGGACGUUGUUAUAGUGUUGCGGACCUGGUCUGGGUGUGCUACUGCUGGCCCGUCCAUUCCAAAUGAGCAGCGACAAUUGCCCGCUUCCAAUAGUCGAAGGAUAACGGGCCGCUGCACUCCUAAGCCGCUUGGGCCUCAUAGCCUACUCCAGUGAACCAUCACUUUU
rnacentral:SRP_RNA from 9 species